CUGGGCUUUCUGGGGGCCACACAGCUGCUGAGGCGGCGGGUUGAGGCGGCCCGAAAGGACCCAGGGUGCUCAGGCCUGGUUGUGGAUAGCGGCCUGUGUGGAGAGGAGCUGCUUGUGGGCAGUGAGGAGGCGGACAGCAUCACCUUGGGCCGGUAUCUCCGGCAGCUGGCACGCCAUCGGAACUUCCUGUGGUUCGUGAGCAUGGACCUGGUGCAGGUGCAGUGGCUCACGCCUGUAAUCCCAGCACUUCGGGACGCCAAGGUGGAAAGACCGCUUGAGCCCAGGAGUUCGAGGCUGCAAUGAGUUAUGAUUGCACCACUGCACUCCAGCCUGGGCAGCAGAGAAAGGCUCCAUCUCUAAAAAAAGAAGAGCUAAGUGCUGUACCUAAAACAUGUAGUAUAUAAACUAGCUGAACUUAGAAAUAAACUGUUUUCAUGUUAUG
rnacentral:sRNA from 1 species